GACGAACGCUGGCGGCGUGCUUAACACAUGCAAGUCGAACGGAAAGGCCCUGCUUUUGUGGGGUGCUCGAGUGGCGAACGGGUGAGUAACACGUGAGUAACCUGCCCUUGACUUUGGGAUAACUUCAGGAAACUGGGGCUAAUACCGGAUAGGAGCUCCUGCUGCAUGGUGGGGGUUGGAAAGUUCCGGCGGUUGGGGAUGGACGCGCGGCUUAUCAGCUUGUUGGUGGGGUAGUGGCUUACCAAGGCUUUGACGGGUAGCCGGCCUGAGAGGGUGACCGGCCACAUUGGGACUGAGAUACGGCCCAGACUCCUACGGGAGGCAGCAGUGGGGAAUAUUGCACAAUGGGCGGAAGCCUGAUGCAGCAACGCCGCGUGCGGGAUGACGGCCUUCGGGUUGUAAACCGCUUUCGCCUGUGACGAAGCGUGAGUGACGGUAAUGGGUAAAGAAGCACCGGCUAACUACGUG
rnacentral:rRNA from 1 species